rnacentral:rRNA from 1 species
GGUAAGUAGGUGGCAGCAGCCGGGGGAAUACGUGGGGGGCUGGGUGGGGGCGUAGUUAUUGGGCGGAAAGAGCGUGUAGGCGGCCAGGUAGGGCGGCGGGGAAAACUCGAGGCUUAACCUCGAGAGGUCGGCGGAAACCAUUUGGUGAGAGUCCGGAAGAGGAGAGUGGAAUUCCUGGUGUAGCGGUGAAAUGCGCAGAGAUCAGGAAGAACACCCGUGGCGAAGGCGGCGCUCUGGGACGGUACUGACGCUGAGACGCGAAAGCGUGGGGAGCGAACAGGAUUAGAUACCCCAGUAGUC